AGUGAACGCUGGCGGUAGGCCUAACACAUGCAAGUCGAACGGCAGCACCGGAGAGCUUGCUCUCUGGGUGGCUAGUGGCGGACGGGUGAGGAAUACAUCGGAAUCUGCCCAGUCGUGGGGGAUAACGUAGGGAAACUUACGCUAAUACCGCAUACGACCUUCGGUUGAAAGAGGGGGAUCGCAAGACCUCUCGCGAUUGGAUGAGCCGAUGUCGGAUUAGCUAGUUGGCGGGGUACUGGCCCACCAAGGCGACGAACCGUAGCUGGUCUGAGAGGAUGAUCAGCCACACUGGAACUGAGACACGGUCCAGACUCCUACGGGAGGCAGCAGUGGGGAAUACUGGACAAUGGGCGCGAGCCUGAUCCAGCCAUACCGCGUGGGUGAAGAAGGCGUUCGGGUUGUAAAGCCCUUUUGUUGGGAAAGAAAUCUUUCAGGCUAAUACCCUGGGAGGAUGACGGUACCCAAAGAAUAAGCACCGGCUAACUUCGUG
rnacentral:rRNA from 1 species